AUUGAACGCUGGCGGCAGGCCUAACACAUGCAAGUCGAACGGUAACAGGAAGCAGCUUGCUGCUUUGCUGACGAGUGGCGGACGGGUGAGUAAUGUCUGGGAAACUGCCUGAUGGAGGGGGAUAACUACUGGAAACGGUAGCUAAUACCGCAUAACGUCGCAAGACCAAAGAGGGGGACCUUAGGGCCUCUUGCCAUCGGAUGUGCCCAGAUGGGAUUAGCUAGUAGGUGGGGUAACGGCUCACCUAGGCGACGAUCCCUAGCUGGUCUGAGAGGAUGACCAGCCACACUGGAACUGAGACACGGUCCAGACUCCUACGGGAGGCAGCAGUGGGGAAUAUUGCACAAUGGGCGCAAGCCUGAUGCAGCCAUGCCGCGUGUAUGAAGAAGGCCUUCGGGUUGUAAAGUACUUUCAGCGGGGAGGAAGGGAGUAAAGUUAAGACCUUUGCUCAUUGACGUUACCCGCAGAAGAAGCACCGGCUAACUCCGU
rnacentral:rRNA from 1 species